rnacentral:rRNA from 2 species
CUGACGGAGCACGCCGCGUGAGUGACGAAGGCCUUCGGGUCGUAAAGCUCUGUUGUUAGGGAAGAACAAGUACCGUUCGAAUAGGGCGGUACCUUGACGGUACCUAACCAGAAAGCCACGGCUAACUACGUGCCAGCAGCCGCGGUAAUACGUAGGUGGCAAGCGUUGUCCGGAAUUAUUGGGCGUAAAGCGCGCGCAGGCGGUCUUUUAAGUCUGAUGUGAAAGCCCACGGCUCAACCGUGGAGGGUCAUUGGAAACUGGAGGACUUGAGUGCAGAAGAGGAGAGUGGGAAUUCCACGUGUAGCGGUGAAAUGCGUAGAUAUGUGGAGGAACACCAGUGGCGAAGGCGGCUCUCUGGUCUGUAACUGACGCUGAGGCGCGAAAGCGUGGGGAGCAAACAGGAUUAGAUACCCUGGUAGUCCACGCCGUAAACGAUGAGUGCUAGGUGUUGGGGGGUUCCACCCUCAGUGCUGAAGUUAACACAUUAAGCACUCCGCCUGGGGAGUACGACCGCAAGGUUGAAACUCAAAGGAAUUGACGGGGGCCCGCACAAGCAGUGGAGCAUGUGGUUUAAUUCGAAGCAACGCGAAGAACCUUACCAGGUCUUGACAUCCUCUGACA